ACAGGUUUAGGGCUGUUUGAUGGCGCCCGAUGGCCGUGCCUCCAUUUAUGUGGGGAAAAUGCGCCAGUCUCUGUGUGUGUCUCUUUUAGUGGCAGUAUGUGAGGAAUCUGCUGCCUUUCUCUCCGCUCUAGAACGGUCUAUAGCGAUGUUCGAAUCUCCAGCGAGUCAUUCUUUUCGGUUGAAUCUGUUCACAGAAUCAAAUGAUCCUGUUCCGGUAUGAAAGAUUCAUUCACGAAUCAGACUGAAUCGGUAAGAGCACAGAGCAGUUCUCAAGCAACUCACCGACUCAUAAGAAAAAUGAACGGACAGUGCGAGAGGCACUAAUUCUUUGUAUUCAUCUCCACCCACUGCUGAUCAUCACCAUAGAGAUUCAUCCAUCAGCCUUUCUGGAUUCACCAGUGAACAGACCUGCUCGCAGGAAUCUCGGCAUAUGGGAACUCUCAGCGCUGUGUGAAAUAUUCAGGAUGAUGUAUCUCGUGAUCUCACUGCACUUUGAUUCAGUCAGUCUCUGGGAGAGUUGUGUGAGUAACGGACAGAUGCGUCAGUGAGUGGAGGACGUGUGGCCGUUAUAUAUUUCGGCAUGCCUGCACACAUUGUUUCAGGACUUGUGGCAUGUCACUAUGGUAUUGUUUUUGAAUGGCCUCCUGGGAGUGUGUGUGUGUGUGUAUGUGUGUGUGUUCAGGCUGGAUAGAAGCCAUGCCCUUAAUUGGUUCUGAGUAUAUGCUUAAGUGCAUAUUUGUUUGUGUGUUUGUGUUUUGCUGUGUCAAGGUCAUACGAACAUGUACCAGGUCCUCUGUAUGUGCAUGUAUGUAUACGAGUUUUUAUGCUGGUGCAUGCAUGUAAUGCCAAAAAGUCCAGGCAUUUACAUAUUUUUUUUAUUUUUUCAUUUAUUUUAAGUGCACUAUACUGUAAUUUCAGCACUAGGGAGUGAAUGUGAUUUGUUUGAGCAUUUUCCUUUUUAUUUAUUUAUUUUUACACUGGAAUGACCGUUUUUUUAAAACUUAAUAGUUCUUGUUUUAAAAAUGCAUGUUUGUCUAGUGUUGUCAUUUUUAUUUUCAUGCAAAAAGACUAGUGUUGCCAAACGAAUAAUCGCUAUAAAUCACAUCCAAAAUAAAAGAUUUUGUUUACAUAAUAUAUGUAUGUGUUUAUAAUGUCUCAAAUAUAUACAUGCAUGUGUUUGUAAUUAUAUAUACAUAACAAAUAUACACAGUA